UACGGGGGGUGCGAGCGUUGUCCGGAUUCACUGGGCGUAAAGGGUGCGUAGGCGGUCGGGUAAGUCUGAUGUGAAAUCUCUGGGCUCAACCCGGAAAUGGCAUUGGAUACUAUUCGGCUAGAGAGUUGGAGGGGGGACUGGAAUACUUGGUGUAGCAGUGAAAUGCGUAGAUAUCAAGUGGAACACCAGUGGCGAAGGCGAGUCCCUGGACAACUUCUGACGCUGAGGCACGAAAGCUAGGGGAGCAAACAGG
rnacentral:rRNA from 1 species